ACUGUGGGGAAGGGCAAACACAUUGAAUUUCAACCUCAUGUGUUUCCUUUAUAGGUAUGUGAAUAUUGCCUCUGAGAUCCUGUUAUAUUUCCCAGUAUGUCGCCAUUCAGGAGAAAUUCGGUGAACCAGCGGCAGAUUUCAAUUGCUGGGAGUAGGGUUUCAAGAACCUGCAUGGAGAAGGAUGAAGUUUCCUCUUCAGAGGUCCAUAUCACAGCAAUUCCAGAUCUCCAAAGUCUCUGAGCUCUAAAAUUGUAUGACUUGCUUACAAAUGAAGGUACCCCCACUACUAUCUUCGUUUGGACAAUGUUAUGCGGCUUACAAAUGAUCUCUACCCAGUGCUGCUCAGACACUGAGAAUCUGGAGACGUCUGAAUCUGUUGUCUAAUCUAGGCAUGAACUCAAGCUUUUCUUCUUACUACAGAG
rnacentral:lncRNA from 1 species